GGCCCCGUAGUUCAAUGGAUAGAAUAGAAGUUUCCUAAACUUUAGAUGCAGGUUCGAUUCCUGCCGGGGCUACAA
rnacentral:tRNA from 1 species